rnacentral:rRNA from 1 species
ACUCCUACGGGAGGCAGCAGUGGGGAAUUUUUCGCAAUGGGGGCAACCCUGACGAAGCAACGCCGCGUGGAGGAUGAAGGCCUUCGGGUCGUAAACUCCUGUCGACCGGGACGAACGUGGUCCGAUCCAAUACAUCGGGCUAUCGACUGUACCGGUAAAGGAAGCUCCGGCUAACUCUGUGCCAGCAGCCGCGGUAAUACAGAGGGAGCAAGCGUUGUUCGGAAUUACUGGGCGUAAAGGGCGCGUAGGCGGCCUAACAAGUCCCGUGUGAAAUCCCUCGGCUCAACUGAGGAACGGCACGGGAAACUGUUUGGCUUGAGUUCGGGAGAGGGAAGCGGAAUUCCGGGUGUAACGGUGAAAUGCGUAGAUAUCCGGAGGAACACCGGUGGCGAAGGCGGCUUCCUGGACCGACACUGACGCUGAGGCGCGAAAGCUAGGGGAGCAAACGGGAUUAGAUACCCCGGUAGUCCUAGCUGUAAACGAUGAGUGCUGGGUGUAGGGGGUAUCUACCCCCCCUGUGCCGAAGCUAACGCAUUAAGCACUCCGCCUGGGGAGUACGGUCGCAAGGCUGAAACUCAAAGAAAUUGACGGGGGCCCGCACAAGCGGUGGAGCAUGUGGUUCAAUUCGACGCAACGCGAAGAACCUUACCGGGGUUUGAACUGUACGGGACAGGUGCAGAGAUGCACUCUUCCUUCGGGACCGUAUAGAGGUGCUGCAUGGCUGUCGUCAGCUCGUGUCGUGAGAUGUUGGGUUAAGUCCCGCAACGAGCGCAACCCUUGCCUCCUGUUGCUAACAGGUAAAGCUGAGCACUCUGGAGAGACUGCCGGUGAUAAACCGGAGGAAGGUGGGGAUGACGUCAAGUCCUCAGGGCCUUUAUGCCCCGGGCUACACACGUGCUACAAUGGCUGGUACAAAGGGUCGCAAAACCGCGAGGUGGGGCCAAUCCCAAAAAGCCAGUCCCAGUUCGGAUUGGAGUCUGCAACUCGACUCCAUGAAGUUGGAAUCGCUAGUAA